rnacentral:rRNA from 1 species
UACGAAGGGGGCUAGCGUUGCUCGGAAUCACUGGGCGUAAAGGGUGCGUAGGCGGGUCUUUAAGUCAGGGGUGAAAUCCUGGAGCUCAACUCCAGAACUGCCUUUGAUACUGGCGAUCUUGAGUUCGGGAGAGGUGAGUGGAACUGCGAGUGUAGAGGUGAAAUUCGUAGAUAUUCGCAAGAACACCAGUGGCGAAGGCGACUCACUGGACACGUAUUGACGCUGAGGUGCGAAAGCGUGGGGAGCAAACAGG